UACGGGGGGGGCAAGCGUUGUUCGGAAUUACUGGGCGUAAAGGGCGCGUAGGCGGCCUUCUAAGUCGGACGUGAAAUCCCUCGGCUUAACCGAGGAACUGCGUCCGAUACUGAAAGGCUUGAAUCCGGGAGAGGGAUGUGGAAUUCCAGGUGUAGCGGUGAAAUGCGUAGAUAUCUGGAGGAACACCGGUGGCGAAGGCGGCAUCCUGGACCGAGAUUGACGCUGAGGCGCGAAAGCCAGGGGAGCAAACGGG
rnacentral:rRNA from 1 species